CAGCAGCCACGGGAAUACGAAGGGUGCAAGCGUUAAUCGGAAUUACUGGGCGUAAAGCGCGCGUAGGUGGUUUGUUAAGUUGGAUGUGAAAUCCCCGGGCUCAACCUGGGAACUGCAUCCAAAACUGGCAAGCUAGAGUAUGGUAGAGGGUGGUGGAAUUUCCUGUGUAGCGGUGAAAUGCGUAGAUAUAGGAAGGAACACCAGUGGCGAAGGCGACCACCUGGACUGAUACUGACACUGAGGUGCGAAAGCGUGGGGAGCAAACAGGAUUAGAUACCCCGGUAGUCCCUGUCUCUUAUAC
rnacentral:rRNA from 1 species